CCUACGGGUGGCAGCAGUGAGGAAUAUUGGUCAAUGGACGAGAGUCUGAACCAGCCAAGUAGCGUGAAGGAUGACUGCCCUAUGGGUUGUAAACUUCUUUUAUAUGGGAAUAAAAUGUUCCACGUGUGGGAUUUUGUAUGUACCAUAUGAAUAAGGAUCGGCUAACUCCGUGCCAGCAGCCGCGGUAAUACGGAGGAUCCGAGCGUUAUCCGGAUUUAUUGGGUUUACAGGGAGCGUAGGUGGAUUGUUAAGUCAGUUGUGAAAGUUUGCGGCUCAACCGUAAAAUUGCAGUUGAAACUGGCAGUCUUGAGUACAGUAGAGGUGGGCGGAAUUCGUGGUGUAGCGGUGAAAUGCUUAGAUAUCACGAAGAACUCCGAUUGCGAAGGCAGUUCACUGGACUGCAACUGACACUGAGGCUCGAAAGUGUGGGUAUCAAACAGGAUUAGAGACCCCAGUAGUC
rnacentral:rRNA from 1 species